rnacentral:rRNA from 1 species
AUUGAACGCUAGCGGCAGGCCUAACACAUGCAAGUCGAACGAGUGGCGGACGGGUGAGUAAUGUCUGGGAAACUGCCUGAUGGAGGGGGAUAACUACUGGAAACGGUAGCUAAUACCGCAUACCAUCGGAUGUGCCCAGAUGGGAUUAGCUAGUAGGUGGGGUAAAGGCUCACCUAGGCGACGAUCCCUAGCUGGUCUGAGAGGAUGACCAGCCACACUGGAACUGAGACACGGUCCAGACUCCUACGGGAGGCAGCAGUGGGGAAUAUUGGACAAUGGGAGCAAGCCUGAUGCAGCCAUGCCGCGUGUAUGAAGAAGGCCUUCGGGUUGUAAAGUACUUUCAGCAGGGAGGCGUUACCUGCAGAAGAAGCACCGGCUAACUACGUGCCAGCAGCCGCGGUAAUAC